rnacentral:lncRNA from 1 species
CAGAACUGAAAUUUCACCAAAAUGGGUAUGAGGGCUCAGCUAAUACUGAACAGAUAUAGAGAUUUAUUAGGACAGCAAUAUGAUGUAUAACUUGGUUCAAGAUACCCCAACAUUCAACCAUGGAAAAGAUUCUUUUUUUGUUGUUGUUGUCUUUCAAGCAUGUACAAGGCAAACAGAAGCCAGCCACGCCAAGGCUUCAAAGACCGGCCAUAUCAGCUUGCCUCGCCAAGAUACAGGUCAGUUAAUCUCAAUGCCCGAAUUAGUUAGCCCAGAUAUAGAAACACCAUCAUCACGGCCUCUUCAUGUACAUUCUAUCAACACCGAAAAAACAAAAAAAAAUCUACACACACGGAUGAAAGACAGAGAUGUGAUAUCCUUUAUGCAUGUUCCAGUCUCUGUUUCUGCUAUUCAAUAAACAAGGGCUGUUGGUUGAUUAAUAUUAAGGAAAAUCAAUGGUGCAAUAGAGCAGGGCAACCUCCCUUUAAAGAAAAUGCCAAGCACUGUUUUGCCUCACUUCUUUCUGAGAUACCUUUUCUGAUUAUGGAAUUUUUUUGGUCUUUUCACCUCCGAAUUUCCCAGCACUGUCUUGUAUAUAAAUCCGCCAUAUAAUUAAAGAUAGUGCAAGAUGAUAUUAGCUCUGCACAAAGGGCCAGAGGAGAAGUAGAGAUCAAAUAAAUCAUAGACAAAAGCUCAAGCGGUAACAACAUAAAAAAUAUAUAUCCAUAUCCUUCGCGUACAAUCAAAUAUAUCGAAUGAUUAACCAUGAGGAGCCCCAUAGUUGAUGGUAUAAUAUGAUUAAAGCUGUUUGUAACCAAAGUGAAAUCAUAGGCUUACCAGAGAAGUAGGCCAACCACCCUUACAUUUUUCUCAGACAACACAUUUGAGGAUUCCAAGAUGCUUUAUAACAUGUAAUCAGAAAACCGCAGGUUCAACUUAACCCCAUACUGAAUCAUGAAAAAGUUUCUGUUUCAUUUUUCUUUCAAACAAAUGGGGCUCGAUGUGUAUUAUGAUAAGGCAAAAGAGAAGCCAGCCACACCAUGGCUGCAAACACCGGUUGCAUGUGAGAAAGAGAAAAUCUCCAUCACAUGCCAUACCGGGUUGCCACACCAAGAUACAGGCUGGGUCAUCUCAAUGCCUGAAUUUGUUAGCCCAAAUAUAUAAACAUCAUCAUCACUGCCACGUUAUGUAUCUUCCAUCAACCUUGUCAAAAGAAUACACACGCACACACAUAGGAAAGCCAGAGAUGUCACUAUAUAUAACUUAAAUCUAUUUCGCUUCUGCAUUGAAAAAUGUUGUUGGCUAUUUAUUUGUUUUGAUAAUGGAGGAAAAUCAAUGGCGGAAUAGAGAGGGGCAACCAUCGUUUUAAUGAAAAUCCCAAUACUCUCUGUUUUGCCUCAUUUCUUUCUUUCUUAUCUAGGCUAACCUUCGGGUUACUUUCUUAAAUCGAGACUUACACGGGGCUUCUGGUUAAAGUGAGGGCUCAGAUUUGCUGUAAGUUUUGACAAAGCAAAAAAAGGCGACGUUGCCAUGGCUGCAUAUACCGAUUUGUUAUACAAAACCAUACCAGGUCACCCUGCCAAGAUACGCGUAAGAUAUUUUCUCAAUGCCAUAAUUGAGCAUAGCUCAGAAACGAAAGCAAUCAUCACAGCCCCUUCACAACAUCAGUAUCCGGUAGCAGCAGCACAAAGGUAGAGGAAAAAGAAGAGGAAUAUAGUAGGGGUGUGUUUGGAUGAAGUUUUUCUUUUUCUCUUUUCUUGUUUAUUUGAAAGGGCUGUUGGUUUUUUGGUUUAACAAUGGAGAAAUCAUAUGCAUAGCAGAGAGGCGCAACCACCCUUUACAAAAAAUCGCUCUCUCGAAGAAGCACCAGUGAUCUAGUGGUAGAACAGUACCCUGCCAUAAUACAGACCCGGGUUCAAUUCCUGGCUGGCUCAACUGGUUGAGCUGUGAGGAAUCCGUGCACUUCAUGUCGUGAUAUGGGUCUCAGCAGUUAUCUGAUUACUGGACAGAUACAGUAGUGCAUCUGAGCUCUUCCACCUUUUUUUUCCAUCAAAAAUAAAAACUCAGUAUCUCUGAUGCCUUAUUCUCUAGGCUAUGCUCAACUCUUUGCUUUUCUGGUGGAAGAACUUUGGGUAGGCUCAGAUUAACCUUUUUCAGAUAAAAACCAAAAAGCUUUGGAAACCGCCAUGGCUGCAAGCAUCAGUUAGACUUAUGAGAGAUGAAACACCAAAAAUGGAACUUUUUCCCCAUAUCUCACAGAUCCACUGAGCUGCCACGCCAUGCAACAGUUUUCUUCAGCUCAAUUUAGUAUGUCUGAUUCAACUUCCACAGAAGACAAAAUCUUCAUAGCCUAACUUAAAAUGAAACAGAGGGAACAACAAGAAUAGGAAUACAAAGAGGUCACUAUGCAUUUUCACCAUACCGUAUUUCUUUCUCAAAACUGCUGUGAUUAUGCUUUCCUUCAGCCGAGGGUCUAUCAGAAAUAGUCUCUCCACCUUCACAAGGUAGGGUUAAGGUCUGUGUACACACAACCCUCCCCAGGCCCCGGUUGUGGGAAUACACUGGGCUAUUUUUACUAAAAGGGUGGUUUUGUAAUUGGAUAAUCUAGCUGGAGUGAUCAUCGGGGUGGAGAAUGACAGAGAGGGGCAAAAUCACCCACUGAAACUCCCCAACAGCUCUCUGCUUUUGCCACUGCCUCACACUUAAACUAAUGAGACACCAUUUCUUAAAUCACUAAAAAUUGAGGUUAAAAUCUGUGUUUAAGUUCAGGUGAAAAGAGAGUCCAACAACGCCAUGGCUGCAGAAAAUCUGGGGACUUGGCCUGCCAAGAUACGGGUUGGAUAGUGCCAAAUGACCUAUUCGUACACUCAGAAGAGAAUGAAAGGUUUACAGAAUCAUCAGCGCCUUGUUCAAGCCGUCAAUGAAGCUCACCACCACCAGCAUAACUUGUCUCAAAACCCAAAGAAUCCAUCAGACUAUAAACUCACAGAGAAACAGAGCAAGCACCCUUAGAAACUCCUGCAUUCUCAGAGUCACAGAAGCCUCAAUUUUCUAGAACAAUCAAGGUAACAGGGUAGGCUCAGAUUCUCCAAAGAGCUUUAAACACAGAGGGCUGUUGGUUGCUUGAUAAAGGAGGAAAAUCAAUGGCGGAACACAGAGCAAACUUUUUCAAAUAAACAGAGGGCUGUUGGUUGUUUGAUAAAUGGAGGAAAAUCAAUUGCGGAACACAGAGCAAAAUUUAUGUAUUUCGGCUAUGCCUUAAAUAGCUGUCCUCAAUUCGGCUAUUGCACUUCCCCCACCUCACCAUGGCUGCAAAACAGCGGUUGCAUGUGAGAGACAGAAGUCUGCAUCACAGGCCAUCCUGGUUGCCACGCCAAAUACGGGUCGGUUCAUCUAACUGGUUGCAUGCAUUGCUGCUUUUCUUCUCAUGUUUAAGUAAGCAAAUUCCACAAGGAUCAAACUUGAAUAAAAUACCCCAUCAAAAAACAUUGCAUUGCAAAAGUCAAUUGUUUAGUAGUCAGAAAGAAAAGAUUAGCCCACCAUAUUACCAUCUGAAAUAACAGAAAGCAAGCUGAAAAUUUGAAACGCAACAAAUUGGUCAAUCACAGAUGAUAAUAACAAGCACUUGAAGGCUCAGAUCUGUAUUCCGUCUCAAGCACCACCAGGCUGCAAAUCCCCAAACCGGGUUGCCCCGCCAAGUUACAGGCCCAUCGACUUCCUGAAUCCAUCUAGCUCAGAAAUAUCAAUAACUUAAGGGGCCAUGAGGUCCUUUAGAUAAAAAUAGCACGGGGCUAGCUAGCUUUCGGACUGGUCAUUCAAAAAUAGCCAGCGUUUACAAAGUCAUUAAAAAAUAGCCACUAUUUUGCUGCAACAUGAAAAUUUCCAACAUAAUAUACUGGAGAUUAGUGCACUGUGUAUGAACUUCCAGCAUAUUAUGUUGGACCAGUAUAUUAUACUGGAACUCCAGUAUAAUAUGCUGGAAGUCCAGUAUAAUAUACUGGAGUUCAAGUACACUUUGCUAGAACUCCUGUAUAUUAUAUUAUGCUGGAGUAUUUUUCGGAUUUUGAAGAGCAUUUUCGUUCAGAUUUAUCUUUACAUGAAAAAUGGCUAAAUUUUGGUUACUUUUGAAACUGUGGAUAUUUUUUAUGACCACUUGUAAAUCUGGCUAUUUUUGAAUGUUUGAAUUUUGCGCGUCCUUUUGUUGCCCCAUUACAAUUUCUGCUCCAUAUUUUCAUUGCGUAGCUUUUUAAAAUAACAAUACAACUUGUAUUACCACUUUUAGCCUGCGCCAGAAACUAUUUACAUUCGUAGCCGAAAAAGUGUACAAAAUUUGUAUAAUUUUUGCAUAUAAUUAUGUUGAGAGUGGCUAUACAGUGUUAUUUUCCCUAAAAACAACCUUGUAACGGAGAAAAAGACGGAUAAAUGCAUAUCCAUCAAAAGGUGGAUUUAGGAUUUGAACUGUAUGGGUUCGAGUUCGAAAUUUUAUCACAACACAUUUGAUUUAAUGGGUUCGCAAUCUAUCAUUUUUAGCAAAGAAUUGCAUUUGACAUAUCCCAAUAUCGAAUCAACAACAACAACAGCCCAGUAUAAUCCCACUAGUGGGGGUCUGGGGAGGGUAGUGUGUACGUAAACCUUACCUAACCUAGGUAGAGAGGCUGUUUCCAAUAGACCCUCGGCAUCCUUCCCUCCAAGAACUCCUCACCUUGCUCUUGGGGUGACUCGAACUCACAAGCUCUUGAUUGGAAGUGGAGUGUGCUUACCAUUGACGCAACCCACCUUGUCCCAAUAUCAAAUCAUGCAAAGUUAAUUUUUUCCGAGCAAAUGGGGGGCUCAGAUGUGUGUUAUGAUAAGGCAAAAGAGAAGCCAACCACGCCAUGGCUGCAAAACACCAGUUGCAUGUCAGAGACAGAAGUCUCAGUCACAAGCCAUACCGGGUUGCCUCACCAAGAUACAGGCCGUGUCAUCUCCAUGCCUGGACUCGUUAGCCCAGUUAUAGAAAUAUCAUCAUUACCGCCUCUCUAUGUACCUUCCAUCAACACCAUAAGAACACACACACAGAGUCUCAAACACAAAUACAUAGUAAAAACGGAGAUGCCAGUGUAUAUAACGAAAAUCCUUUUUGCUCUUACUGCUUUUUUCACAAACAAGGCUGUUCACUUUUUCAAUAAACGAGGAAAAUCAAUUUCGCAACAGAGAGGGGCAACCAACCUUUCAAGGGAAAUCCAAACUCUUUUGUUUUUGCCUCUUUUCUUUUUUUCUUUCUAGGAAGGAAAAUCAAUUUCGCAACAGAGAGGGCAACCAACCUUUCAAAGGAAAUCCAAACUCUUUUGUUUUUGCCUCUUUUCUUCUUUUUUUUUUUCUUUCUAGGCUAAUCUUUCUUUGCUGGGGAGAUUCUUUUGGUUUUUUCACCUUCGCAUUUCCCAGCUCUAAAAGGGCCAGUUAUUUUCUUAAAUUCAGACUGGUGAGGUGUCUUCAGUUAAAAGCUCUCAAAAGAAAGGGUAUACACCAAAUUAUGCACACCCCUAGCUGCAAGCAUCAGUUAGCCUUAUGAGAUAUAGAAGAAAAACCAUAAAGAUGGAAUUUUUCCCAAUAUCUCACAGACCCAUCUGAGCGGCCAUGCCAAGAUAGAGUUUUUUUUCCAGCUCAAUAAAAAAAUAUGUCUGAUUCAUCUUCCACAAAAAAAAAAAUCAUAGCUUCAUCGUACAUAAAAUGAAAGAGAGAGAGAGAGUAACAAGAAAUUGAGGCUCAGAUUUGUGUAAUAACCUCAGGUAAAAAGAGACUCCAACGACGCCAUGGCUGCAAAAACCCACUGGGAGCAUGCGCCGCCAAGAUACGGGUCGGGUUAUCUCAAAAUGCCCCGAUUGAUUAAUAAGCUCAGAAGGGAAUGACAAAAUCAUCAUCGCCUCUUUAUAGCCGCCUAUUUUACUCACCACCACCGCUUCCACCAGCUCCGCCGGCAGCAUUGAAUGCUCCGGCGAAAGCAUUAAAAAAAAAAGAGAAAAACAAAGAGUGGAAGGGCUGUUACUAAUGCUAUUCUUAUACACUCGACCAAACGACCCCUUAAUAAAAUUGAUAAAAAGGGCUGUUGUUUGGAUUUUUAUAUGGAGAAAGUCAAUGACUAAUUGCAGAGAGAGAGGCGCAACCGCCCUUUCAGAAAGUCCUCAAAACUCUCUGUAGCCUCAUUCUUUCCUUUCUAAGCUUUUUGGUCAAUGACUAAUUGCAGAGAGAGAGAGAGAGAGGCGCAACCGCCCUUUCAGAAAAUCCUCAAAACUCUGUAGCCUCAUUCUUUCCCUUCUGAGCUUUUGCUUUCUUCAUUUCACUAACAGUUUUUGUUUAUACUAGUCCCAAGCGCAAUGCGCGUCUAUCUCA